CUCCAAUCAGAUGAAACUGAUCUUCCCGUGAAGAAGCGGGAAUAUACCUAUAAGACGAGAAGACCCCAUGGAGCUUUAAAUCCAACAGCACCUAUUACCCAUACAUCUUUAUAUUUUUUUAGCAAAUGCUCGUUCGGUUUUAGGUUGGGGUGACCAUGGAGUAAAAAAUAACCUCCACGAAAAAAGGCAUAAAACCCUUAUCAAAGAGCCACAUCUCUAUGAAUUAGUAAACUAAUUUCUGAUGAUCCGAUAUUCGAUCAACGAACCAAGUUACCCUGGGGAUAACAGCGCAAUCCGCCUUAAGAGCCCCUAUCGACAGGCGGGUUUACGACCUCGAUGUUGGAUCAGGGUAUCCCAGUGGUGCAACAGCUACUAAAGGUUCGUUUGUUCAACGAUUAAAACCCU
rnacentral:rRNA from 1 species